rnacentral:rRNA from 1 species
GAUGAACGCUGGCGGCGUGCCUAAUACAUGCCAGUCGAGCGAACAGAUGAGGAGCUUGCUCCUCUGACGUUAGCGGCGGACGGGUGAGUAACACGUGGAUAACCUACCUAUAAGACUGGGAUAACUUCGGGAAACCGGAGCUAAUACCGGAUAAUAUAUUGAACCGCAUGGUUCAAUAGUGAAAGCCGGUUUUGCUGUCACUUAUAGAUGGAUCCGCGCCGCAUUAGGUAGUUGGUAAGGUAACGGCUUACCAAGUCAACGAUGCGUAGCCGACCUGAGAGGGUGAUCGGCCACACUGGAACUGAGACACGGUCCAGACUCCUACGGGAGGCAGCAGUAGGGAAUCUUCCGCAAUGGGCGAAAGCCUGACGGAGCAACGCCGCGUGAGUGAUGAAGGUCUUCGGAUCGUAAAACUCUGUUAUUAGGGAAGAACAAAUGUGUAAGUAACUAUGCACGUCUUGACGGUACCUAAUCAGAAAGCCACGGCUAACUACGUG